ACGGUUAACGGAGCGAAAGCGACGUUCAACCGCAAAAGAAGCAGAGGGGGCUUAGUGGUGGGGUGACUGCGUACCUUUUGUAUAAUGGGUCAGCGACUUAUAUUCUGUAGCAAGGUUAACCGUAUAGGGGAGCCGGAGGGAAACCGAGUCUUAAUUGGGCGUUAAGUUGCAGGGUAUAGACCCGAAACCCGGUGAUCUAGCCAUGGGCAGGUUGAAGGUUGGGUAACACUAACUGGAGGACCGAACCGACUAAUGUUGAAAAAUUAGCGGAUGACCUGUGGCUGGGGGUGAAAGGCCAAUCAAACCGGGAGAUAGCUGGUUCUCCCCGAAAGCUAUUUAGGUAGCGCCUCGUGAAUUCAUCUCCGGGGGUAGAGCACUGUUUCGGCUAGGGGGCCAUCCCGGCUUACCAACCCGAUGCAAACUGCGAAUACCGGAGAAUGUUAUCACGGGAGACACACGGCGGGUGCUAACGUCCGUCGUGAAGAGGGAAACAACCCAGACCGCCAGCUAAGGUCCCAAAGUCAUGGUUAAGUGGGAAACGAUGUGGGAAGGCCCAGACAGCCAGGAUGUUGGCUUAGAAGCAGCCAUCAUUUAAAGAAAGCGUAAUAGCUCACUGGUCGAGUCGGCCUGCGCGGAAGAUGUAACGGGGCUAAACCAUG
rnacentral:rRNA from 2 species